GAAGGCGCACAGGAGACUGAAGAGCAGCGCGGCCGGCUGCAGCCAAGGGCUGAGCCGCGCGCCGCCCCCGGGAGCACCUCCCCGAGGGCCCGGGAAGACGCCCCCUCGGGCUCCUUCCUCCUCCUCCUCCUCGGCCGCCGCCUCCUGACUCGACUCCAGCUCGCCUCCGACCUCCCCGCCGACCAGCCUCACCAGCAGCGCCAGCAGCACCGACAGGGAGCCCGCGCACAGCGCCGAGGAGAGUUGAGGCGAGCGCCGGAGCGGCUGCAGCGCCAGGGCUCUCCAACAACAACCGGAGCCCCGAGGGGAUGGAGAGGACUCGCCACGAUGGCGGUGGUCCCCUCUGGCCACCCGGGCGGGACUCGCCCCUCCGAAGGCCGGCUUGGCUAGGUCUUGGGCGGCCUCGCCCCGCACUGCCAUGCUCUGCGGACAACCCCCACCCGUCCCACUCGCGCGUCCGCGCUCUUCUCGAGCCCACUCUCGAAUCACUUCUCCCGGAUCUACGCGAAGUUUCAGCCUUGCAGAGAACUCAAGAGUGCGAGCUGAAGACUUUGAGUUGGCAGCUAGCAGGAUCAGCCUUUGAAUUUUCAACCCCCUCCUCUCUCUCUCUCUCUCUCUCUCUCUCUCUGCAGGAAAUACAGAGGAAGAAGAAAAAAAGAUGAGAAAGGAAUAGAAGAUGGCUCAGCAAUCAAGAGCCCCUACUGCUCUUUCAGAGAACCCACAGAGUUCCCAGCACCCACAUUUGGUGGCACAGAGCCAUCUGCAUUUAACUCCAGUUCCAGGGGAUCUGAUGCCCUCAUCUGGACUCCACAGGCAUCUGCACUCACACAUGUUCACACCUAACAGACAAACAAAAAGACAGACAGACAGAAAGAAAAAUUUUAAGUAACUUUAAAAGUCUAUCUGGGAGUGCCAGCACAUACAAGCCCAGGAUCUAGAAAGCUGAAACAAGGAAAGUGUCUGGAGUUAGAGGACAGCCUGCAAGACAAAUGGACCGCUGGGGCAAAGUGUAUCCCUCUUCCCAACUCCAGAACACAAACAUCCUUAGUCAAUGGUUACUGGUUAUAUGUGGUAAAUUAUACUAUUUGCUGAGCUUCCUCUGCAGAGCUAGGAAGCCCAGCUAGUGAAACACACCCACCACGGACAAAGCCCCUCCAUUAUUAGUGAUUUCAUGAUCACAUACCACAGUAUGUGUGGCAUUUAGAAAACCAUGAUGCUAACUUCAUUGGCAGUUUAUGCAAAAGAAUUCAUGAUCUGCUCAGAAUAUUCAAAUGACAUCGAAGUGUUGCUGGAACAAGAAGCAUCAACUCUUGCUCAGCUUGAAUAGUGACUGCCUGGGUGUCAUUUGUCUCUCCCAAAUAAUAAUAAACUGAUGUUUGUCUC
rnacentral:lncRNA from 1 species